rnacentral:tRNA from 14 species
GCCGGCAGGCUUCAAACCCGGGGGGCCGGCG